rnacentral:rRNA from 1 species
CCUGGUUGAUCCUGCCAGUAGUCAUAUGCUUGUCUUAAAAAUUAAGCCAUGCAAGUCUAAGUAUAAACGAAGUUAUACAGUGAGACUGCAGAAGGCUCAUUAUAUCAGUUAUUGUCUAGGCGAUGGGCAAAUUUACUACAUGGAUAACUGUAGUAAUUCUAGAGCUAAUACAUGCCAUAAAGCUCUUCUCUUUUUGAGAGGGGUGGCCUUAUUAGUCGCAAAAGCCAGCCCGACUUUGUUGGAGCCUUGGUGAUUCAUAAUAAUGAUGCCCAAUCGUACAUCAGUACGAUACAUCGCUAGAAUUUCUGCCCUAUCAGCUUUGGAUGGUAGUGUAGUGGACUACCAUGGCUUUUACGGGUGACGGGGAAUUAGGGUUCGAUUCCGGAGAGGGAGCCUGAGAAACGGCUACCACUUCUAUGGAAGGCAGCAGGCGUGCAAAUUACCCAAUCCCAAAAUGGGGAGGUAGUGACAAGAAAUAACAAUAGUGGGCUCUUACGAGUUCGCUAAUUGGAAUGGAUUUGGUGUAAAAGUCCUUUUGAGGAACAAUUGGAGGGCAAGUCUGGUGCCAGCAGCCGCGGUAAUACCAGCUCCAAUAGUGUAUACUAAUGUUGCUGCAGUUAAAAAGCUCGUAGUCGAACUUCUGAUCUGUCAAACGUGAGCAGUCCUUAAUCAAGGUCUUGUCUCAAAUGUUUGUGGAUCAUAAUUCUGGAGAGUCCUUCUAGCCUUAAUUGGUUCGGUCGGUACGAUCCAGAGCGUUUACUGUGAGCAAAUGGGAGUGUUCAAAGCAGGCUUUAUAGCAUGCCUGAACCGUUUAGCAUGGAAUAAUGAUAUAUAACUCUAGUUAUAUUUCGUUGGCUUAUACAAUUGGAGUAAAGAUCGAAAGGGAUAGUUGGGGGUGCUCAUAUUCAGGGGGUAGCGGUGAAAUGCAUUGAUCCUCUGAAGAUGAACUAAUGCGAAAGCAUUCACCAAGGAUAUCUUCUUUGAUCAAGAACGAAAGUUGGGGGAUCGAAGACGAUCAGAUACCGUCGUAGUCUCAACCAUAAACGAUGCCAACUAGGGAUUGGCGAUCGUUGGUUAUCAUGACUCCGUCAGCACCUUUAGAGAAAUCAAAGUCUUUGGGUUCUGGGGGGGAGUAUGGUCGCAAGUCUGAAACUUAAAGGAAUUGACGGAAGGGCACCACCAGGAGUGGAGCCUGCGGCUUAAUUUGACCCAACACGGGGAAACUUACCAGGUCCAGACAUAGUAAGGAUUGACAGAUUGAAGCUCUUUCUUGAUUCUAUGGAUAGUGGUGCAUGGCCGUUCUUAG